rnacentral:lncRNA from 1 species
AUCAAUCCUCAAAGUAUCCAUAUUCAAGAAAAGCCUUACAACCCUAAUGAAUGUGGUGAAACUUCUAACCCAUCCUCAAAACUUACUCAACAUCGAAGAACUUAUAUUGGAGAGAGCUCACAAAGAUGUAAUAAAAAAUGUAUAAUAGUCUUUAGUCAGUCACAUCUGAAGAGACAUAAGAUAAUUAACACUGGAGAGAAAUCAGUAAAAUGUAAAGAACGUGGCAAAGCUUUUACCAGGGGCUUACAACUUGGACAUCAGAAAAUUCAUACUGGAGAGAAACCUUACAAAUGUGAAAAAUGUGACAAAGCCUUUAAGAAGAGCUCACACCUUGCUCAACAUCAGAGAAUCCAUACUGGAAAGAAACCUAUCAAGUGUAAGGAAUGUGGCAAAGCUUUUAACAGAGGCUCAUACCUUACUUAACAUCAGAGAAUCCAUACUGGAGAGAAAGCCUUCAAAUGUAAAGAAUGUGGCAAAGCCUUUAAUAGAAGCUCAUACAUUACUCAGCAUCAGAGAAUUCACACUGGAGGGAAACCUUUCAAGUGUCAAAAAAUGUGGCAAAGCUUUUAACAGAGCUUCACACCUUACUCAACAUCAGAGAAUACAUACUGGAGAGAAACACUUCACACAUAAAGAAUGUGGCAAAGCCUUUAACAGGGGCUCACACCUUACUCGACAUCAGAGAAUCCACACUGGAGAGAAGUCUUUCAAAUGUAAAGAAUGCAGCAAAGCUUUUAUCUAGGGCUCACACCUUACUCAACAUCAGAGAAUCUACACUGGAGAGAAAUUCUUCAAAUGUAAAGAAUGUGGCAAAGCUUUUACCAGGAGCUCACACCUUUCUCAAUAUCAGAGAAUUCAUACUGGAAAGAAACCUUUCAAAUGUGAAGAAUGUGGCAAAGCUUUUAACAGACACUCAACCCAUACUCAACAUCAAAUAAUUCAUACCAGAUAGAAACUCUUCAAGUGUAAAGAAUGUGCCAAAACCCUAAACUGGUGCUCACACCUUACUCAACAAUUCUAUCUUUUAUACAA